rnacentral:lncRNA from 1 species
CACUACUUGCAGCUGCAAGCAGCGUGAUCUACAUGUGGGGGUGGUGCGAUGAUGCCGAUGAUGGUGGUGGUUCGGAUUUGUUGAAGGUGACAGUAGUGCACGUUUGGUUCUUAACAUUGUUGGGAAUGGUGGUGGCGAUGAAAAUCCAGUGUGACAAAGUUUAUCUUCAUUGUCACUGUGUGUGGCCAUAUCUACGUUAACUAUGACUGUAUAUGACUUGGUUACAUAUAGUUACAAAUUAAACUGACAUGGUCACAGACAGUCCUAUUGAAGACAAAGUUGGUCAAGCUAGUCACAGAUAACAUAGGUCAGUGAAGGUAGUAUUUAUGAUCGUGAAUGAGUUAAAGGUGAUAGUGGUGGCGCAUUGGAGGUAAUGGUGAUGAAUUGUGGUACUGGUCUACGAUGUGUGCAGAUUUAUUUGUAGUGACCAUCUGUAAUCAAAUAUAUAUUUAUUGUGACUAAUUGUAACUAAUUAUGUUUUAAUUGUGACUUGAUCACACACCUUCACAGUUGAGAUUAAUUUGGUCACAAACAAUCACAUUAAAGACAAUUAUACUAAAUACAAAUUUGGUUACAAUUAGCAACAGAUAACAAGUUAGUGACUUAAUUACAUACAGUGACUUGGUAGGGUAGGUAGGAGUGGGAGUGGGAGUGGGAGUGAGUUGGGUGACGUGGGGUGGAGUCUAAUUUCCAGUUUUCAAUUUUUGAAAAAAAAAAC